rnacentral:lncRNA from 1 species
CAGUUGGCCGCGACUGCGCUAUGGUUAUGAAUCGCCGCCGAGCAAGAAUCUCAAUAGCUGGCACAAGGUUAAAUGGAAAAGUCUUCUCCACCUCGUUUAGAAAGGGCACAAGGUUAUAAUGGAAGGUUUACAGGUAGAUUCUCGACACCUCGAAACUCGGGCGCAUCGCGAGGUGGAGGUCAGUAUCGGAAUUCGUUCCCAACCCAACCACGCAUGGAGGGACGAAGUCGAGAUACCCGACCACAAAACUCCCGCGGUAAUAAUUACGGUCAGCAUAAUAACAAUAGGACUUCUUGACUAGUACAGAACAAGCCAACAAU